GACGAACUUUGGCGGCGUGCUUAACACAUGCAAGUCGAACGGAAAGGCCCUGCUUUUGUGGGGUGCUCGAGUGGCGAACGGGUGAGUAACACGUGAGUAACCUGCCCUUGACUUUGGGAUAACUUCAGGAAACUGGGGCUAAUACCGGAUAGGAGCUCCUGCUGCAUGGUGGGGGUUGGAAAGUUUCGGCGGUUGGGGAUGGACUCGCGGCUUAUCAGCUUGUUGGUGGGGUAGUGGCUUACCAAGGCUUUGACGGGUAGCCGGCCUGAGAGGGUGACCGGCCACAUUGGGACUGAGAUACGGCCCAGACUCCUACGGGAGGCAGCAGUGGGGAAUAUUGCACAAUGGGCGGAAGCCUGAUGCAGCAACGCCGCGUGCGGGAUGACGGCCUUCGGGUUGUAAACCGCUUUCGCCUGUGACGAAGCGUGAGUGACGGUAAUGGGUAAAGAAGCACCGGCUAACUACGUGCCAGCAGCCGCGGUGAUACGUAGGGUGCGAGCGUUGUCCGGAUUUAUUGGGCGUAAAGGGCUCGUAGGUGGUUGAUCGCGUCGGAAGUGUAAUCUUGGGGCUUAACCCUGAGCGUGCUUUCGAUACGGGUUGACUUGAGGAAGGUAGGGGAGAAUGGAAUUCCUGGUGGAGCGGUGGAAUGCGCAGAUAUCAGGAGGAACACCAGUGGCGAAGGCGGUUCUCUGGGCCUUUCCUGACGCUGAGGAGCGAAAGCGUGGGGAGCGAACAGGCUUAGAUACCCUGGUAGUCCACGCUGUAAACGGUGGGUACUAGGUGUGGGGUCCAUUCCACGGGUUCCGUGCCGUAGCUAACGCUUUAAGUACCCCGCCUGGGGAGUACGGCCGCAAGGCUAAAACUCAAAGGAAUUGGCGGGGCCCCGCACAAGCGGCGGAGCAUGCGGAUUAAUUCGAUGCAACGCGUAGAACCUUACCUGGGUUUGACAUGGAUCGGGAGUGCUCAGAGAUGGGUGUGCCUCUUUUGGGGUCGGUUCACAGGUGGUGCAUGCCUGUCGUCAGCUCGUGUCGUGAGAUGUUGGGUUAAGUCCCGCAACGAGCGCAACCCUUGUUCACUGUUGCCAGCACGUUAUGGUGGGGACUCAGCGGAGACCGCCGGGGUCAACUCGGAGGAAGGUGGGGAUGACGUCAAGUCAUCAUGCCCCUUAUGUCCAGGGCUUCACGCAUGCUACAAUGGCUGGUACAGAGAGUGGCGAGCCUGUGAGGGUGAGCGAAUCUCGGAAAGCCGGUCUCAGUUCGGAUUGGGGUCUGCAACUCGACCUCAUGAAGUCGGGGUCGCUAGUAAUCGCAGAUCAGCAACGCUGCGGUGAAUACGUUCCCGGGGCU
rnacentral:rRNA from 1 species